rnacentral:rRNA from 1 species
CUCAUGAGUAGGAGUGAAAUCCUGUAGUCUUAUGAGGACCACCAGUGGUGAAGACGUCUGGUUAGAAUAGGUCCGACGGUGAGGGACGAAGGCUGGGGGCGCAAACCGGAUUAGAUACCCGGGUAGUCCCAGCAGUAAACGAUGCCAGCUAUGUGUUGCUGGAACCAUGGGUUCCAGCAGUGCCGAAGGGAAGCCGUGAAGCUGGCCACCUGGGAAGUACGGUCGCAAGGCUGAAACUUAAAGGAAUUGGCGGGGGAGUACCACAACCGGUGGAGCCUGCGGUUUAAUUGGAUACAACGCCGGGAAUCUUACCGGAGGGGACAGCAGUAUGAAGGCCAGGCUAAAGACCUUGCCAGAUCAGCUGAGAGGAGGUGCAUGGCCGUCGCCAGUUCGUACCGUUGAGGCAUCCUGUUUAGUCAGGCAACGAUCGAGACCCGCAGUCUUAUUUGCCAGCAUGCCCUUUGGGGUGUAUGGGUACAAUAAAGACGACCGCCAGCGCUAAGCUGGAGGAAGGAGCGGGGCUACCGUAGGUUCAGCAUGCCCCGAAUCCUCCGGGAUACACGCGGGCUACAAU